rnacentral:rRNA from 1 species
AGGACGAACGCUGGCGGCGUGCUUAACACAUGCAAGUCGAGCGGAAAGGGCCCUUUCGGGGGUACUCGAGCGGCGAACGGGUGAGUAACACGUGAGUAACCUGCCCUGGACUUUGGGAUAACCCUCGGAAACGGGGGCUAAUACCGGAUAUGACAUGCUCCUGCAUGGGAUGUGUGUGGAAAGUUUUUCGGUCUGGGAUGGGCUCGCGGCCUAUCAGCUUGUUGGUGGGGUGAUGGCCUACCAAGGCGACGACGGGUA